rnacentral:lncRNA from 1 species
UUCCCUCUGAGAUCCAAGCAAAAAGGAAGAAGUUUCAGGGGUCUUACCUUUUCUCCUCCCCUGCGUAAAACUUACUACUCUUCCUCCUCUGCUCUUUCCCCAGCCAUCCAUUUUGUGCACCAAGGAACCCAGUAGAGCCCAGAUAUGUUGAGAACAAUGCCACUCAAAGCAGUCAUCAAACCUCAUUCAUGCCCUCAGGGAGCUGCUGAAAAAUAGUACCAGGUGUGGUGCUUUGACUAAUUGGCCUGAACAGUCAACGUAUGCCUGAGCUGGCUCGUGCAGGAACUGGUUGGUGCUGGUUCCAAUUUUUGCAACCCUUGGAUUUCUGUUCAGAAACGUCCUAUUUGGAAUAAUUUGUCUCAGCAUCAGGGCCAAUCUGCAGUUUGGUUUUGACUUGACAAGAUGAGGGAAGAUGUGAUCUGUAGCCUACCACAACACUUCUUCGUAUGGCAGUGAUGAUGGGAAGCCUCCAGGUCCAG